AAACGAACGAGGAAGCCAGGAAGAGCUGGCGUACCUGCAGAGUAUUUCAAGAAAAACAACCGAAAUACGACUGUCCACGUUUAAUUCCCACACUGCAGGGUGAUCAUUUGAUUCAUAAUACACCAUAAGAAGAAACUGUGGGGAUGAUUUUGUGAUCAGACGCCCCUGAAUCGAGAUUAAUGAAGCGCGCACCUGCCAUGUGUUCGAAAUUCCGAAUGCGCGAGGCAAGUACAAAGGGGCAAAGCACCGGGAAACAAAACUGACCGAGGAAACAGCAUAUCCCGCAUUCCGCAACGCCGAUUCAGCAUUUUCAAGCAAAGUAUCGAAUCAAGAAAGAAAAUCUACAGCCAUGUUCAUCGAAACGCUUCAGUUCACCAUUCCAAUUGACUUGUGCACGGUGUUUUCAUCGUUACAAAAAGGACCGAAGUCGAAUCUUGAAUUUCCUGCGUCGGUGAAUUCAUACGGCACGACGCAAGAUGCAAACAUUCAAGUAGCGUUGCAUGCAAACAAGCUGACGUUUACAGUUGAUGGUGUUUCAUCAAAUGCUAGCAUGAUAUCAAAGAGUGAAUGUAAAACAUUAAGACUUUCAGUAUUUGACGUUGACCGUUCAUUAAUACCUCAAGAAAGUGAAGUUGUAAAUUACGAACAGAUGCCUUCUUCGGUCACAGUUUCAUCUAAACGUUUGCACGAUAACUCCUCAUCAAUACAACCUGCAGCAAAAGUGAGACAUUUAGAAAUUACACCAAUUCGUUCACCAGCCCGUCGCAUUCCACAUGCUCAAUCAACGUCUUCUCCGUCCAACAAUACACAUUCAAAAUCUCAAAAUGACUCUUCUGUUAAUGUGAAACAAGAACCAGAAGAUCCAGAUUUAAUAGAAAUAGAACCAGACCCUGAACCAGACGACAUUGUGCCAAAGACAGAGACUCCAUACAUGCAAAUAGAUUAUUCAUCCGAUGUACCUCAUACGCAAACGUCCCAAGCAGCUCUAGAUCGACUCUCUCAUCCACAAUCAUCGCAUUCUCAAUCACCCGGUUCUUCAUCAUCGUCCUUCCAUCAAAACGUUCCACAUGUGCCAGAUUACUCAGAACCCAGUACCAGUCGAGUUCAUCAUGGUGACCAAAGUGCAGAUGACUAUUUAGUGUUUCAAGACGACAAUGACUACGGCGACGAUAACGAAGCAGAUUACAGCAAUGACGACAAUGGUUUCUCCCUGAUAUCCAGCAGCCAGUUGAGUAGGACUUCUCAGAUUGGUCCGUCAUGGACAUACCCGCUGGCACCACAGUCCCAACCUGCCAUUGACAUCAUGCAGUCAGUGGCUUUUGCCAUUGGUCCAAACCCUUCUGACUUCACCCCUGACUAUUAUAAAGGAGCUGCCAGCCAGCUUCAUCGCUGUGAAGAAUGUGGGAAGACAUUUACCCAGCAGGUCAACAAGAAAAUACAUAUCGAGUCUGUGCAUCAGAAACUUGUGUACCCAUGUGUAUGUGGGAAGGUGUAUAAGUAUCGACGGGCGCUGCGGAGACACAAACAGCACGAUGGCUGUAGAGGUCAGGAAGAAACAUCUUAGGAAGAAGUUUUGUUGAUUACAAUGUGAAAAUGUGCCGAGCUCAUUCCAAAAAGAAUUGAAUUAUUGAAUUUGCCAGAGGGUAUUUUAUGUGGGAAGGGAGUUUUGCUAAGCACAACACAAUGUUGGCUGAGGUGGUCAGAAAGGACAGUCCUUGGAUAGUCCUUGUCAAGGUCAAAUCUUGCUAGAUCUUUCCAAGAACGUGAAGUGUUUAAAUUACCACAUCAAUUGUGUACAGGAAGGUGUACAUGUACAUCAGAUCUCUGAACAGAACAUUGGCUGGUGGUAAAGGAAAACGGUCCAAAGAAUACCUGUUGUUGAUGUCACGGUCUCAUGAACAUUUCCAAGAACAUGAAUUGUUUGAAUCAGCACAUCCUCAGUGUUCAUGAAGGUGUACAAGUACCGCAGAUAUCUAAAAAGAACAUAGAGUGAGGUGAUCGUAGAGAACAAUCCUCAGAGGAACAAGGUUGCAGGCAGCUUGAAAGUGUCCAUGACUUGUUCUCUAGAUCCGCAGCAACAACAUAUUUUGUCCUGUUUGUGAGAAAUAAAUGUACAUGUGAGGCA
rnacentral:misc_RNA from 1 species